GAUUCGUAUUCGAAUCGAUUUUUUCCCACAACCCUAGUAUUUUAACUUUUAAAAUAUUGCAAUCUUUCACCCUUCUUGAUUAUAUCUCAAUGAAUUCUAAAGAGCCUUGUGAUGAGGUGGCGACUUGUCCGGGGUAUACCCCGCCUUCCACCCAUUUGUAGCUGAGAUAAACACCAGCGCCCCCACGACACCAAAGGGAAUAAGCGGUAGGAAAUGGAUGGAUGGAAUUAUAAAGAGCCCUGUGAUGAGGUGGCGACUUGUCCAGGGUGUACCUCACCUUCCGCCCUAUUGUAGCUGAGAUAGACGCCAGCGCCACCCGCGACCCCAAAGGGAAUAAGCGGUAGGAAUGGAUGGAUGGAUGAAUUCUAAAGAAACGUUAAUCCUUUUCGCAAUUUAAAUUGUUCCAACAGCCUAAAACAACGCAAGCAUAGGGUUCUUUUUUCCAAGACAGUCUUAGUGGUGCACAGAACACUUUGACAACAGACGCCCACUUGAUCACCACCUCAAAUCUUGCAUAGUUAAUGAGCCGGAUGUGACGUCAGGUAGAGAUGGACUGGUCAAAAACAGGAACUGAGCUGUAGUUGGCCAUCGGGGUUUCCUUCAUUUGCUUGAAAGACGUCAGCUCCACAAUGCGGCUGAUGACAUCAUCAUAGAGGGACAGGUCCAGGUACCUCAUAAUGCGCUCCACUUCACGUCGAGGAUUCUGGAACAUGUAAAGGAUGUUCCUCUGUUCUCGUUCUUGCCAGCAGCCUUACCUUCAGUUUUCCACUGAUUUGGUGAAUGUAAGCCACAUUUUCAGGGAUGACUAAAGCAAUCCUUCAUCCGACACACCAUCAUUAAAACACAAUACAGAGUCACGGAGGAGCACCAACCUUACCGAAGAGCUCAAAUAAAUUGAGAUUGGGCAACAUGGCGGCGCCUUGGCGGGCUGCGGCUACAGACGCUCACGGUAGAAAGAGAACAUUUGGCAAAAAAUACCGGACAAUUCUGCAAAUUUCAUGCCCGGCUUACAGCGUGGAUACUCCAUGAUCACUUACAAUCGCCAGACAAUUCUGGAUGUGGAUAGAUCGGGCUGUUUUGGACUGAAAGAUGAGUGUACGUUGGACCACCUCGCUAGCAUGGGAAUACUUCCCCGGCUACAUCCAGCAGCCUUUGACGCAGUGGAGUAUAGUACCAGCGGGGACCGUCAACAGAAGACACCUAAGCGGUGUAAUCGGAAACAGCCCGCUCGGCAUCCGCGUUUCUAACAACACAGAAAAAAGCUAAUCCCCACAGAACACCGCUUCCUUCCAUCCUGAAGCUGGAUUUAAAUGGAAGACGCGAGCCUGCUAGUCUGGGUGAGGAGUCAGUUAAGUUAGAACAAGUUUUUUCUGCUAUGACUGUGUCAGAGUUGGACAUACGUUCUACUGAGGUUACAAAUUAUGAUGCGUUCAGUUUAUCACAGCACCAAGCAAACAAUCAGAAAACUCCCGUCAUAUCAAUUCCUAGAUAUGGUCGUAAUUAUUUUAAGUGCACUACGCAUAAUAAACGCAACAUUAUUAAUAUUGCUACUACGGCUAAUUUGAUCAAAAACUCUUUAGAACAGCCCACUACCUGUAGUAUGGGCUUUUUAUACAUAAGAUCAUUGUCUCCCAAAACGUUAUUACUUAAUGAGGUCAUUAGAGACACCAAUCUAAACUUCAUCGGUCUCAGCGAAACCUGGCUUAAACCGGACGACCUUUUUGCACUAAAUGAGGCAUCUCCUCCUCCUAACUAUACGAAUGCGCAUAUUGCCCGUCCCCUUAAAAGGGGUGGGGGGUCGCACUAAUAUACAACGAAAAUUUUAACCUUAGUCCUAACCUAAAUAAUAAAUAUAAAUCGUUUGAGGUGCUUACUAUGAGGUCCGUCACACCGCUGCCUCUAUACCUGGCUGUUAUCUACCACCCCCCAGGGCCCUAUUCAGACUUUAUCAAUAAAUUCUCAGAGUUCGUUGCUGAUCUAGUGACGCACGCCGAUUAUAUAAUUAUAAUGGGGGACUUUAAUAUCCAUAUGAAUACCCCAUCAGACCCACCGUGCGUGGCGCUCCAGACUGUAAUUAAUAGCUGUGGUCUUACACAAAUAAUAAAUGAAAACACGCAUCGCAACGGUAAUACGAUAGACCUAGUGCUUGUCAGGGGUAUCACCGUUUCUAAAGUUAUGAUAUUCCCUUAUACUAAAGUAAUGUCCGAUCAUUACCUUUAUAAAAUUUGAGGUUUAGACUCGUGUUCGGCAAGCUAAUAAUAAUAACUGUAUAGCAGCCGCAACUUUAAUGCUGCCACAACGACAACUCUUGCUGGCCUACUGCCCACGGUAAUGGCACCAUUCCCAAAGUAUGUGGGCUCUAUUGAUAACCUCACUAACAACUUUAACUACGCCCUGCGCGAAACCAUUGAUGGUAUAGCGCCGCUGAAGUUAAAAAAAAGGGUCCGAAAAGACGUACCCUAUGGUUUACAGAAGAAACUAGAGCUCAUAAAUUAUCAUGUAGAAAGCCGGAACGCAAAUGGCGCGCGACUAAACUUGAGGUUUACCAUAAAGCAUGGUGUGAUAGUUUAAUAACUUAUAAACGCAUGCUUACUUUAGCUAAAGCUAAAUAUUACUCAAAUCUCAUCCGCCUUAAUAAAAAGAUCCUAAAUUUUUGUUUAAUACAGUAGCAUCGCUAACCCAACAAUAUAUUAUAAACUUAUAACUUUCCUCUAGCACUGUUCCCCUAGCAUUCAAAAAAGCGGUUAUUCAUUUUCUCCUUAAAAGACCUAACCUCGAUCCUGACCUCAUGGUAAACUACCGACCGGUGUCUCACCUUCCCUUUAUUUCAAAAAUCCUCGAAAAAAUUGUUGCAGAGCAGCUAAAUGAACACUUAGCGUCUAACAAUCUAUGUGAAACCUUUCAAUCCGGUUUAAGGGCAAAUCACUCUACGGAGACAGCCCUCGCAAAAAUGACUAAUGAUCUUUUGCAAACGUUGGAUUCUGAUGCGUCAUCUAUGUUGCUGCUCCUCGAUCUUAGCGCUGCUUUCUAUACUGUCCAUCAUAAUAUUUUAUUAGUGCAUAUCAAAACACGAGUUGGUAUGUCAGACUUAGCCCUGUCUUGGUUUAACUCCUAUCUUACUGACAGGAUGCAGUGCGUCUCCCAGAACAAUGUGACCUCGGACUGGGGUGAGUUUUCCUUGCCCUUAUGUGGGCUCUACCGAGGAUGUCGUUGUGGUUUGUGUUGUGGUUUGUGCAGCCCUUUGAGACACUGGUGAUUUAGGGCUAUAUAAAUAAACAUUAAUUGAUUGAUUCAUUGAUACAUACCUCUUUUUAUACUUGCAUGACAGUUGAGAAUGUCACUCUCAAAGUUUACGUAAUGGCAGCAUGUAAAUGUACGGUUUAAUGUGGCAGUCUACGUACACUCUCCACGCAUAAACUUUUGGAUGUAGCCCCCCCAGGGUCCAGGGUCGGGGUGGAUGAGAUACAUCUGAUCAAAGUGGAAGUAGCUCACCAGGUUGUCCUUAGCAUUACAAGCCACGUAGAUCACUUUCACAGACACAAUUAUUUAAGAGGUUGUUGGUCCUCAUGCCAGCGGCCACUGUCACAUCAACUUACUUUGCACUUGUUUUCCAUAAAGGAAUGAGAUGAAAUGCCAAAUGUGUUUUGAUAACUCUUGGGGGGUCCAUUGGCUUCAGGAGAUCAAUACCUGAGAAUUUACAGCAACAAAAACAUAAGUAUCUAUUUAUAUAUAUGAGUUCCAAUAGGGCAGGGAUGUCAAACAUGCAGCCCGCGGGCCGGGACUAGGCACGCGAACAGGUUCAAUCCGGCCCACGAGAGAAGUUUGCUAAAUGUAAAAUUGGCUGCAUUUUCAAAUUAAAGAAACUGCUGUUCUAAAUGUGUCCACUUGCAUUUCUAGUAUGCAAGGAAAAUGAGUUAUACUGGUGCGAGCAAGGAUACCAAGCAAGAGAUAGCGGGGCUGCGACUCCUCCCCCUCAUCUCAACGUAAAACAAACAGGAGUACAAUAAACAAUUGGUAAUCCCACUUAGAAUGCUGCAUGAGACACUGCCCAUUGAUAUAGUUUUGCGAAAAUUAUUGUCUUCUUUGCAAAUUUAAAGAAAUUGAAGAGGGGAAAUCACAAAUGCAGUAGUUGAUACAUAGAAGCAUUGUUAUUUAUGCUUUAUUUUGUUGUUGUUCAAUCCUAGAUGGGCUGUGUUUUAAUGUGUAUUUGCUUUGUAUAUACACUGAGUUGAAGUCCAAGUUCAUUGUUAUUCUUGGUGUUUUUGAAACUACACCAAUUUUUUCCUCAGAAUUUUCAACUACCGUAUUUUCCGCACUAAAAGGCGCACCUAAAAACCUCAAAUUUUCUCAAAAGCUGACAGUGCGCCUUAUAAUCUGGUGCGCCUUAUAUAUGGACCAAUAUUGAGCCACAAUAAGCGGUAGAAAUGGAUGGAUGGAGGUCUCGCAACUACGGUAAGCAGCCGCCAACUUCAUAUGAAGUUAGCAGCUCUAUAUGAACAAAGUUUUAAAAUAGGCCAUUCAUUUAAAGUGCACCUUAUAAUCCAGUGCGCAUUAUAAAGUGGAAAAUACGGUAACUUAAAGUGUUUUGUCGAGGAUUUUUUUGUGAUAUUUACAUUUUCAGAAUGUGCUCGUUCUUUUGUGUGUCAAAGUAAAACAAAGAAAACAAUUGGAAGUUGUCGUAGUUGUAUUAUGCCAUGAUUUUCACCAUUCGGCCCACGUAGGAAUAGAUUUUCCUCCAUGUGGCCCCUGAGCUAAGAGUUUGACAUCUCUGCAAUAAAGGGUUUACACACCUGAGGAAAGGCCUGGUCGAGCUGAAUUCUCCAGGAAAGGCAUUCGAAAAGGAGUGAUGCCUCUUUCACAGGUCUCAAUAUCUCCGUUGAGAAGAAGCAGAUCCACUAUCUCCUAAACACAUGUUGUCCCUUAUCACCCCCAAAAAGACAUGUUUCUUAAGGGUUGUGUUUAAAACACUUUAUACAACAUGUUAACAUACAUGUUAGCAUACAUGAAAUACUGAUUACAGUUCCAUUUUUAUACAAAUGGUCAAUAACUUAUGGACAAUUAGUUGCUAAGUUCUUAAAGAUAAUUUGCUUAAUGGCAACCAUCUUCAUCAACCAAUCUUUAUCAAAUUUUACACAUGUGCUCGUCAGUCCCUUAAAAUAUAUUUAAUAGGGCUAGGGUUUAAAAGCGUUCCUGGAUGUCAUUGUAACUUAAAUAGCAUGCGUAAAUCAUUAACUAGCAUUUGUGUACAAAUAUUGGGAUAAGUUCUUGCGCUAAUUUCAAAUAUGUAAGUGAGUAAUCACCUGUGAAUAAUCACAAUUUAUCCAAAUUCCAAAAUGUGAAUAAUCUUAUCUGGUACGUCCAUUUUCUCUCCAAUACUAAAUGUUUCCUUUUCUAUUAGCUGUCUCAGAAAAAACAUUGCAUUUUUGAUAUUUUUGUUUCGAAUGAAGUUAAAUGAGAAAGGUGUCCAAAAAAACAACAACCAAGAACUAAAUAUGGAUCAAAGUCUGGUCUUCAAAAACGUAAGAACUUUUAUGUUCUGUUUAGAUUUGGAUUAUCUUCAAAGCUAAUCUAGUAGCGUUUUAACAUGACCGGGCAAAAAGAAUGUAUGAGUACCACACCAUGAAAAAACAAUCAUACCUGCUUUGGGGUAGCUAGCGAUAAGCAAGUCAGAAGGAUCAGGACAGAAGGAUGAGACAGCGUCAUAGUUGUCGGCGACAGGUUCCACAAGGGGAACCCCUUUUACUGUCACCAGUCGGCAUCGAUGUUUGUCUUCUUGGCCCUUUGACAUGACUGAAGUCUGUAAGAUUUGUGAACAAUUAUCAAAAA